UCAAUGACCAGCUCUGAGGGGCAGCCACACACACAGACACACACACACACACACACACACACACAGACACAACCUUCAUCACUGCAACCACCCUGUCUGUCAGUACCCAGACAGACACUGUCUGCCAUUCAACAGAGAAACAUGUUUCUUACAUCUCUCCUCCUCCUGUCCUUCCUACCAGAUAUAUACAGCAUUAGUUUGACCUCCUCCCCUGCUCAACUCAAACCUCCUGGAGAGUCAGUGAAACUAUCUUGCCAAGUCUCUGGCUAUGCCCUGACAGACUAUGGUACAGGUUGGAUACGACAGCAGCCAGGGAAAACACUGGAGUGGAUUGGGAUCAUCUGGAGGGGUGGAUCAAUUGACUCUGGAGCCUCUUUUAAGAGCAGAUUCACCAUCUCCAGAGACAGUAGUAAUGUACUGUACUUAGACAUCACCAGUCUGCAGGCUGAGGACACAGCUGUGUAUUAUUGUGCUCG